rnacentral:lncRNA from 1 species
CCCAGCUCUUACUGAGGAAAAUGGAAUUGUCAGAGAAGGUUACCCUGGCAACAGGGUCACCUGGCAGGGCCUGCGGCAUGAGGAGCCAGGCUGGGGCAGUGGGUGGCGUGAGCGCUGUGAUGAUGAGGAAGGAGCAGGAGGUCAGUGAGUCCCUCAAGCUUCUCUGUGGCUUCCGUCAGCUCAAGGGUUAUAUGAUAUUACUGAUGAGAUUUAUCAGAUUAUUACUUGCCUUGGAAAGAAGAGGAAGAUUGCUGUGUGGAGUGAUGCUGCAAGGGUAG